rnacentral:rRNA from 1 species
UACGUAGGUGGCAAGCGUUGUCCGGAAUUAUUGGGCGUAAAGCGCGCGCAGGCGGUCCUUUAAGUCUGAUGUGAAAGCCCACGGCUCAACCGUGGAGGGUCAUUGGAAACUGGGGGACUUGAGUGCAGAAGAGGAAAGCGGAAUUCCACGUGUAGCGGUGAAAUGCGUAGAGAUGUGGAGGAACACCAGUGGCGAAGGCGGCUUUCUGGUCUGUAACUGACGCUGAGACGCGAAAGCCAGGGGAGCGAACGGG